rnacentral:other from 1 species
AAAACCCUGCGGUGUGCGUGAGGUCAGCGCGUGUUUAGAGCCAACACGUUCAGAAAAGGGAGCCCGGUCUCUGCUGGUGGAAUGAAUGCCCCCAUAGUCAGGGGACUCAAGAAGCCCGCAGGAGGGCACCCACCUGCUGGGAGCAGGUUCUGAAACAGGCGGGCCCACGGCAUCAUGGGGUUGUC